rnacentral:lncRNA from 1 species
CUCCUGUUCCAGCUGCACGAUGUGAUCCACCAGCUAGGAGGGAUGCCAAUAAGGCGUCCGAUAAGAUAAGUCUUAUAAAAUAUAUAGAUGUAUGAUAAUUGAGACUGAGCUAACAGAUGAGAAUCCUAGUCAUUGGCCAAGCAGCAUUGUAACUAAUACAAGUCUCUCUGUGUAUUCAUUUGGGCCUAACUCAGACAGGCGGCUGUCGUAAAGCUCACAUGUGACAGUGGGGCUCAGGCGGCUUUUGGCAGAAAGAUUUAUAGUAACACAUACCCUCACAGAAGAGCUGACCCCUGCACUGUAGAGAGAUGGCUCCACCCCUCACCACAGGUUUUGUUCCAUUUGGUUCCAUUCUAGGUGUCUAGGAUAUCCAGCCUCAAGUUUGUGGUCAUCCAAGCAAUGUCAGGGGUGGGCUUCCUCCAGUGCCAUAGGACUUAAGCUGGAUUGCUCAUUGGCUGGCCAUUCUGCUGAUUUCUGCUAGACCUUUAACACAGCACAUCUUGUAGAUGGAACAAAUUGACCGUGACCUGAGAUUGUAUAAGGGAAAUCAGUUCCUGAAGGGGCUAUUUAACCCAUUAGGAUGGCUUGACUAUCUUCAUUUGAGCUCCCCAUAAAAGCUUGGGAACAGAGGAGGGAGAGAACUAGGAUAAGGAAAGCUGUUUGAACUCAGUUCACUGGGCCAGAUAGGACGAUGUUCACAGAGGCGAUAGAAAAACUGAGCCAGUGGGGACUUUAAAGCUGUUGAGAGCUUUAGCAGCUUUACUGAGUGCUUUGAUGGGCCAAGAUCUUUAUAAAGCAGGACAGACUUCUCCAGAUCUCCGUGACUUAGACCAGCAUCUAAAGAGGUUCCAUGAAAUGAAAGAGCAACCUAGAGAAGAGAUGAAAAAGACAAAGGAGAAGAAGACGUCUUCUGGGUUACUCGAAGAUAAAUGUGGCUGGAUGUGGUCAGGCUGAUAAUUAUCCCCUCUCCCAGAGUAAGGGGGGGUACAUUUUCCUAUAGCAUAAGUAUUUUUCUAAGGGUGGAGAUUGUUUACCCAGCCAGGAACUCCGCUCAAGACAAGAUGUAGUGGAUGAAGAAGCAACAGCUCCACCUCCGGCUCCGGCUCCGACUCCAGCUCCAGCUGCAGCCACAGUUUGAACUCAGGGCUGCUCUCACCCACGGAGACCGCAGGUGUGGCUGGGAAUGGCAGCAUCUGCUUCCCUCUUGGUGCACAACUGACUAAACAGAUACAGUCAGGACCACUGAAUUUAACAGGGGUUCAUAAAUAUAGGAAGGGUCUAUGAAGAGCUCCAGGAUAUGGAGUACUUUUUUAUUUCUUUCUUGUUUUUUUUUCUUUGAUUCACUCAUUAUUGUUUAAUUUCCGUGAAUUUAUGUAUUUGCUAGAAGUUUCUUUGUUGUAAAUUUUAAAUUUUAAUUCUUUGUGUUUGUACAGGAUAUAAGGAGUAGUUUUAAUCUUUUUGAUUAAUUUUUGUAUUUAAAUAUUUAUCCUGUGUCACUAAAUGUGUUGUAUUUUAGCAAAAUUUCUACACACUGAUGAGGAGAAUCUGCCUUCUUUCUUGUUUGGGUGGAAUAAUCUAUAGAUAUCUUCUAAGUUCAUUUCAAUUAAUUUUAAUUUUGGUUCUUCUCUGUUUAUUUCUUGUCCAGAUGGCCUGAUCAUUAGAGAAACCACAAUAUUGAAACCACCUACUAUUAAUGGGUUUGAUGUUAAUCUGUAUCUUUAAACAUAAUAACACAUGUUUUACUUUUGAAAUUCUGCACUUCAAAGUUUGGUGCAUAUAUGUUUAUAAUAUUAUUUGUCUUCUUGGUUAACAGCUCCCUUGGUUAGAAUAAAGUGGCCUCUUUAUCGCUUCUGAUUAGUUUUAUUUUUAGCUCUAUUUACCAAAUGCCAGGGAAGCAGCACUUGCCUGCUUCCUGGUCCCAUUUUAUUGGAAGGUUUUUAAUCCAUUCUUUAUCUACAAGGCAGCAUGUAUUUUUAAAGUCAUGAUGUGUUUUUUUGCAGAGAGCAGGAACAUUUCUUGAUCCACUCAGUCAGAUAUUGUUUUUUCAUUGAACAAUUGAGGAUUUCGAUAUUUGAAGUUAUUAUUGAAGCCUAUGCUAAUUGUUGUCUUAGUAUUGUUAUUUGUUUCCUUGGUGGUGCCUUGUGUUUUAAUAAUUAUGGCUAUGGAUUUCUUUCUACAAACUCUCUGCUAUGCUUAUUCCUCUUGUCAGGCCUAAAUAUUGCUUCUUAUAUUCUCUUUUGGUUUAAUUUGUUUCUAAAUUUUUGUUUUUGUUUUGUUUUGUUGGCAAUGUAUAGCAUGGAAUAUUUUUCUUUCUCUUUCAAUAGUUAUCAGACAGUUUUUCUGGAUCUAUUAGUCUAUUAGCCAUAGACUAAGUUUAAGGCUUGGAAUGCAUUGUUCCACAUUCUUCUGGCUUUCAAUAUUUCUGUUGAGAAAUCAUCUGUUGUUCCGAUGACUUCUCCUUUGUAUGUGGCUUGCAGUUUUUCUCUUCCUUUUUCAAUAUAUUUUCUUUGUUAUGUAUACUUUGUGUUUUAACUAUGAUAUGCCACAUGGAUUUAUUUCCUGUCUAUUUGAUGUUCUGUUCACUUUUUUAUCUAUAUAGGUGUGUUUUUCCUCAAAUUGGGAAAGUUUACAAAUGUUCUUGUUGAAGAUCUGGUCUAUGUUAUUGAUGUGGGAUUUUUCUCUUUCAUCUAUGCCCUUAAUUUGUAAAUUUUAUUGUUUUCAUGGUAUGCCACAUUUCCCAUAUUUUCUUUUCCUGUUUUUUUCCAUAUUAUUUGCUUAUUUGGUUUUGUCUCUCCUUUAUCUUUGAACCCUGAUGUCCUAUUUUCUGUUUGAUUCAUUCCACUUGUAAGACUUUCCUUUGAGUUUUCUAGCUGAUUGACUGGGUUUUUCAAUUCCGUCUUUAUUUCAGUUUGAUUCAUCUUCAAUGUUUUUUCUAUAUCCUUAUACUGAAUUCUGACCUCUAGUGUUGGAUUGUCCUUUUUAUUUCUAGUAGCCUUAUGUUUGUAUUUUUGGGGCAUCAUUUGGGUCUUUUUUUUUUCUUUAAGCUAUUUCUUCUAAGUUUUGUGUCCUGGGUUCAUCUAGUUGUUUAUCAUGGGUAAACAUUUGCAAAGGACUUGUAGUAUUGAGAGAGGAGAUGAUGACUUGAUCUUUUGUGUUGUUUAUGAGAUCUGGGCUUGUUGACUUCUUUCAUUAGUUCUAAGUCUUAGGUAUAGAACAGAUUAAGGCACAAUAGAGGAUUGUGUUGGGGGGCUAGAGGAUAGAAAUAUUUUUAUUGGUGGAAUUUACUCAGGUGGAUAGAGGAGUCUGGGAUUGUGUAUACAAUUUGUAUCCUGGUCCAAUCCUGGAGUAUAAAAGUAGACCUGCUGGAUGGAAUGGCGUGAUAUGGUAUGAGAGAAGCCCUUCAAUUGAGAAUUGGAAGGGAGGUUCCUGGAUGAACUCAAGAGAUCAUUUGUGGUCAGGCAAGGGUGGCUAGAUUGCUAUAAACUUUAGAUGUGUGGGCUAUCUCUGCUGUGUCAUGGGGAGUUCAUAAAUAGGUAGGGUGAGAAACCUCACUGUGUUAUACAUUGGAGAAAGACUUGGGCUCUAUGGCUGGUGGGAAGUAUGGCUGAAAUCCAGAAAGGAUCUGGGGUUGGUGACAGGUUGUAUGGGUAAGAAGGAUAUGGAUGAUCUGUCUGGGUGGUGAGACUGGCUGUGAUGCAAAAGAUACCCAUAGUUGUGGGACAUAACCUGGAAGAAGUCUAGAUGUUCAUUGCAGUGUAGACAGGGAUGAUCAGAUUAGUCCAGGAUACUAGAUAUGUGGCAUAGGCUAGAUCUGGUGGGUUGAGAAAGUGUGGGUAGGGAGAUCAGGGAGACCCACUGGGCCACAUCCUGGAAAAGAAAUGGGGGUUCUGGCUGGUUAGAAAUGUUGGAUGUGACACUUGCAAUAGACUUUAAGGGGAGAAACUUAUGAGAUACCUGUAGGUCAUUGAGAGUAUGACCUCAGGAAAGUGACUGCUCCCCAGAGAGAGCUAUACCAAAGUUACUUAAUGUAAAAACCCAAACGUGAGCACUUCAUCCUCUCUGUCUUCUGUUUAUAAAAGUAAGUGAGCUAUGCUCCUUGUAAACACUCCCAGUACACACCAGGGAGCCCUUGUCAGAGUCAGUAUUACAUUGUACUUUCAGCUAAAUAGACUUCUAUUCUAUGUAAAGCUACUCUGCCUGAAGCACUUUAUUCCUGCAGUAAAUACUAAUAUAGCACUACAACAAUAUUUCAUUUUUGUUAUUAUUUAUGCGACAAAGUGCAUUUGCAGUUUAGAUUUAGAUGUAUUCUGUAGGCUACUGUCUGUCCUUACUUUCCACCCAAAGUUUGCCAUAUACAUUGCAGUGGAGCUCUGAAUCUCAGACUGGUUUUGUUUGUGUGUUUGUUUUUCUAAUUAGCCAUUUGUUUAAUUUACCAAAAUGCUUGUGAAUAAAAUAUGUGACAACGAUGGAGAAGAUAAUCCCUUGACACAAGAAUCCUAUGCCUGAAGAUGCUGGGCCCUCACUGAAUCUCUUCUUGGACAUCGUGUUGCUUCCCUGUAUCAUGGAGAUCCUGCUGCUCUGGGUCCUUAAGACUGGCCCCAUCUCUACCCCAUCCCCACCCCAUAGGGUGAAUGUCGAGGUGGGUCAACACAUAAUCUUUGUUCUUGGCCUGCAUAGUUGCAGGGCUGGUCAGCCCUCCAGCUCUCCCCUCUCUUCACCACCAGAGUGAGCUCUCUUGCAUUUCCCUGGCUAGUUCACCACUUGCAGGGAAGAGCAAGAUGCAGGGCAGGUUCUCCAGCUUUCACAUCCUCAGGGUGAGUUUCCCCACACCAAUACCUUUAAGGUCAGAUCUACUGUGUUGUCCAGGCAAGGUGCAUGGUCAAUCUUCCUGAAGCUGCUGAGGGGAUAGAACAGCUCUCCUGCUCUUAAGACCUCAGGGCGAGCUCUUCUCUUGUCUCUGGCAUUUACGGGCCUGGGGUAAGGGUUGGGGUCUACUAUGCUGCCCAGGUAAAGUGCAGGGUCCACUUUCAGGAGAGCUACAGAUGGAAAGGGGGAGGGUCAGCUCCAUUGCCUACUACAGGUGGCAGGGUCAAGGGGACCGAUAUCUUUUCCACAUGGCAGAUGAGGGGGUGUGGCCAGCUAUCUCUCUCUCACAGCCCCCAGUCUAUCUUGUCCACACCUCUACCAACAGGUUCAGCUAUGAUGUGCUACCUAGGCCUGGAGCAGGGCCUGCUUUCCUGAGUGUCACAGCUGCUGAGAUGGAGGGUCUGCAUAUCAGUUUAUUAAGAUGGAAUCGCUGCUAAUUACAUGGUAGAGAAGCUAAUUGCCAUAAUCAUUGUGGUUCUCCAGAAUACACAUUGGAAUCAAAUGGUUUAAAACCACAAGGAACUUUUCCUGAUGCCUGGUGACAAGGCUGAGGUGGAUGAAUCUGUGCAGCUACUUCAAUCUGUUAAAGAGUUUGUGGGCCACACAGUGGUCACGUGCAUACAAGAAGUCAAAGAGCUCCUCUGUACAAUCCUUUUCGUCUGUGUUGGGGAAGACAUGCUUAUCACAAAGCUCUAGCCGCUCCCUGGCCUUUACACACUUCUCUAACUGCUCACAUUGCUCUCUCACUGUAGUUAGGGGGUCCACUAAUUCCUCCUGCUCUUCUUCCUCUUUGGAGUCUCUGGAUCCAGUAAGCAUCUUUCGUUCGUCCUCUAGUCCCAUGUCAGGAAGCUGUUCAGGACUCAACACCAGGAGAAACAUUUCUUAUUCCACUUCAGGAUCAAAAAUCCUGUUUCCCACUUUUUUCCUCCCUUUUUUUAUUAGAAAGAAAAUUACUUUACAUUUCAAUCUCAGUUCCCUCUCCCUCUCUCCUCCCCUGACCCCCCCCAACUAACCCUGUACCCAUCACAUACCCUUUCUGCUCCCCAGGGAGGGUGAGGCCUUUGAUAGGGGGUCUUCAAAGUCUGUCAUAUUCUUUGGGAUAGGGCCUAGACAAACCUGCUUGUAUCUGGGCUCAGGGAGUAUCCCUCCAUAUGGUUGGUCCGAAAGUAGUGUUGUUUACAACUAAUUGAUCACAAUCUGUUUCCCACUUUUAUUCAUGUAUAGUUCUUUUAGUAGGCUUGAGGCCUCAAGGAUUUUUGUUCAUCCAGUUUGGUGUAUUCAUUAAACUCAUCCAUAUUUUAAAUAAAAUUCAGUGAGAUUAAAGACAACCACAGAGAAAGGUAUAUUAGCAUGAUAAAUAAGUGGGAGAGGAUCGAGUGAGAGACCAGGGAGAGGAAUAGGAGAAGGUAACCAAUUGAGAGAAACAGAGGUGCUAGUCAGUGAGGACUUGUUACUAGAUGUCUUUUUCUCCAUGUCCCAGACACUUCCUCUAUCUCCAGGCUAACUAUGCAAACUUUAUAUUACUAUGGUUUGUUGUUUUUGUUGUUAUUUGUUCUGUUGGAGAAAGUGGCUCAUCAUGAAGAGAUUAAAAAGAGG